rnacentral:rRNA from 1 species
AGUGAACGCUGGCGGCAGGCCUAACACAUGCAAGUCGAACGGCAGCACAGUAAGAGUUUGCUUUUACGGGUGGCGAGUGGCGGAUGGGUGAGGCAUACAUCGGAAUCUACUUUUUCGUGGGGGAUAACGUAGGGAAACUUCUGCUAAUACCGCAUAUGACCUACGGGUGAAAGCAGGGGAUAUUCGGACCUUGCGCGAUUGAAUGAGAUGAUGUCGGAUUAGCUAGUUGGCGAGGUAAAGGCCCACCAAGGCGACGAUCCGUAGCUGGUCUGAGAGGAUGAUCAGCCACACUGGAACUGAGACACGGUCCAGACUCCUACGGGAGGCAGCAGUAGGGAAUAUUGGGCAAUGGGCGCAAGCCUGAUCCAGCAAUACCGCGUGAGUGAAGAAGGCCUUCGGAUUGUAAAGCCCUUUUGUUGGGAAAGAAAAACUGCGGAUUAAUACACCGCUGUUCUGACGGUACCCAAAGAAUAAGCACCGGCUAACUUCGUG